CUACUUUAAAUACUGGAGGAACCAAAGGAAGCCCACAGUCUGACAGCAAAGUGCUCUAAUGGGUGAUACGGUACCACGAGGGCAUUAAUAUAAGAUCAUUUGUAACCUUCACUAAAGCUGAUUCUGUGCUGUGAUGAGCUCUGAAACCUGACCGGCAGGACUUCUUUGAGCAGUUUUGUAGGAAUGGAGGAAGUAAUCACCGAAGUUAACUGAGAAAGAUGAACUCUGUGUUUCUAACAGGUGGACCUUCUGCUGUGGUUCCUACUCCAAGUAAAAGUCGGCCUUCUGUUGGUCUUGAUCCUCCAACAAACACUCACUCCCUCACCUACAUCUACACGGCGCUCUCCAAACCUGUCGGCCUCCCGGGCAUCCACGAGUUCA